GAACUCUGAAAUCAAAUUUUUACGCAAAUAAAGUUAAAAUUAUGUCCGACAUGUGGUGCUUUCUUUCCUAGCGGCAGCGUUUGCCCUAUCUUCGCAUCCCGGAAAUUUAAAACUGAUUUGUUAUCGGCGUUCCACCAACGUUAAGUACCUACCACGGUAUCUAGCAUAAAUAUGGCUCCAAUUGAAAAACGACAAGAGACCUUUUUUGUUGAAUUUUUUUUUUUUUAAUAAACGUUUUGAAAUCAAAUUUUAAUUCUUUCGUCAGCAAUUGUUUAUUUAUCGUUGCUUACAGAUAUAAAUGAAAUAACCUUACAUGUAUCCUACCUUCCCAACUUCUCAC